rnacentral:rRNA from 1 species
UCGAGGUGGAAGUGCGGUGACGCAUGUAGCUGACGAAUACUAAUCGGUCGAGGACUUAACCACAUUU